GAGAAGAAAGAAAGAAAGGAAAAAGAAAAGAGGGAAAGAAUGAAAGAAAGAACAAAGCCUUUUCUUCUCUUUUUGGGUGUCUUGGGAAUCUUUUCUUUUGUUUUCCUCU
rnacentral:ribozyme from 13 species